AUUGAACGCUGGCGGCAGGCCUAACACAUGCAAGUCGAACGAGUGGCGGACGGGUGAGUAAUGUCUGGGACACUGCCUGAUGGAGGGGGAUAACUACUGGAAACGGUAGCUAAUACCGCAUACCAUCGGAUGUGCCCAGAUGGGAUUAGCUUGUGGGUGGGGUAACGGCGCACCUAGGCGACGAUCCCUAGCUUGUUUGAGAGGAUGCCCAGCCACACUGGAACUGAGACACGGGCCAGACUCCUACGGGAGGCAGCAUUGGGGAAUAUUGCACAAUGGGCGCAAGCCUGAGGCAGCCAUGCCGCGGGUAUGAAGAAGGCCUUCGGGUUGUAAAGUACUUUCAGCGGGGAGGCGUUACCCGCAGAAGAAGCACCGGCUAACUCCGUGCCAGCAGCCGCGGUAAUAC
rnacentral:rRNA from 1 species